rnacentral:rRNA from 1 species
GAUGAACGCUAGCGGCAGGCCUAACACAUGCAAGUCGAACGGUAACAUGAGUAGCAAUACUUGAUGACGAGUGGCGCACGGGUGCGUAACGCGUAUGCAACUUACCUCUAACUGGAGAAUAGCCUUCCGAAAGGAAGAAUAAUACUCCAUAAUAUUACGAUGUGGCAUCACAUUGUUCUUAAAGCUUCGGCGGUUAGAGAUGGGCAUGCGUCUGAUUAGCUUGUUGGUGAGGUAACGGCUCACCAAGGCAACGAUCAGUAGGGGGCCUGAGAGGGUUAUCCCCCACACUGGUACUGAGACACGGACCAGACUCCUACGGGAGGCAGCAGUGAGGAAUAUUGGUCAAUGGACGAAAGUCUGAACCAGCCAUGCCGCGUGCAGGAUGAAUGCCCUAUGGGUUGUAAACUGCUUUUAUAUAGGAAUAAACCCCUUUACGUGUAAAGGGCUGAAGGUACUAUAAGAAUAAGGACCGGCUAACUCCGUGCCAGCAGCC